rnacentral:rRNA from 1 species
UUGAAUUGCAGGAGAACGAUCCAGAGAUGGUGAGGUCCUUCGGGACUCCUGUGAAGGUGCUGCAUGGUUGUCGUCAGCUCGUGCCGUGAGGUGUCGGCUUAAGUGCCAUAACGAGCGCAACCCCUUUCCUCAGUUGCCAUCAGGUAGAGCUGGGCACUCUGGGGACACUGCCACCGCAAGGUGUGAGGAAGGUGGGGAUGACGUCAAAUCAGCACGGCCCUUACGUCCGGGGCUACACACGUGUUACAAUGGGGGGUACAGAGAGCCGGUGGCGCGCAAGCUCCAUCCAAUCCUUAAAGCCCUCCUCAGUUCGGACUGGGGUCUGCAACCCGACCCCACGAAGCUGGAUUCGCUAGUAAUCGCGCAUCAGCCAUGGCGCGGUGAAUACGUUCCCGGGCCUUGUACACACCGCCCGUCAAGCCAUGAAAGCCGGGGGUGCCUGAAGUCCGUGACCGGAAGGAUCGGCCUAGGGCAAAACUGGUGAUUGGGGCUAAGUCGUAACAAGGUA